rnacentral:tRNA from 1 species
GUUAAAUUAGUUAAGGUAUAACAUCUAAUUUGUAAUUAGGAAUCGACUAUCAGUCAUUUAACU